rnacentral:sRNA from 1 species
UUUUAGCCCUGAUAGAGGCGGCAUCCUUUUUUGAAGAAUGAAAAAAAGAUAUAGCCGAAAGCAGGAAAUAGC